rnacentral:tRNA from 1 species
GGGCUGGGGCUCAGUGGUAGAGUGCUCACCUGGCAUGCAUGAGGCACUGAGUUUGAUCCUCAGGACCA